UUCUGCAUCUGGCAUUAGUUUCAAGGUUGUUCUGAGUACACUCAGUCCUGUGUGGUGGCAGUUAGUGUGGUAAGAGGGGUAAGAGAGGCUGAUAUCAGUUGAGAUGGAACCUUCUGGCCUCAGGGCUUGUGGGGGAGACUGUCUUUUUUUUUUUUUUUUUUUUUUUCAUGUUCAGGAAUUGUUUGUUUUUGAGACGGAGUCUCACUCUGUCUCAGGCUGGAGUGCAGUGGUGCGAUCUUGGCUUACCGCAACCUCAGCCUCCCAGGUUCAGGUGAUUCCCCUGCCUCAGCCUCCUGAGUAGCUGGGACUACAGGUGUGUGCCACCACGCCUAGCUAAUUUUUGUAUUUUUAGUAAAGACGAGGUUACACCAUGUUGGCCAGGCUGGUCUCAAACUCCUGGCCUCAGGUGAUCCACCCACCUCAGCCUCCCAAAGUGCUGGGAUUACAGGUGUUAAGACCACACUUGGCCUGGAAUUUUUCUUUUUAGUGCAUCCAAAAGCGUGGCUAUUCUCUGAGUAAUCAAUUCACACCAGUGAUCCCACCAAGGAUCUGUAACCCAGAGCACCAAAUUGCUCAUUAAAAUAGUAAAGUGUUAAUGUGGACAUUAUCUUGUUACAUUAUUGUCUCAGGUGUGAAACUGAGAUCAGAGGGUUCCUUGGUAAACACAGAAUUGGGAUUUAAGACCAACGCAACAAUGUCUAUGACAUCCAUAGGGAUUUGUGUGUCAAGCUAACCUGAAUAGUUGCUCCAGCUCACCUUCACCAAGACAAUGCAGGAGAUAGCAGUGUCCCACCCUUGUGGGCUUGUGUUUAUCUUCUGUGGACUAAAGAUCCUGGCCUUGAACCCCACCAGACAUAGCUACCAUGUGGCUUGCAGCC
rnacentral:lncRNA from 1 species